GAUGAACGCUAGCGGCAGGCCUAAUACAUGCAAGUCGAACGGUGUAGCAAUACACAGUGGCGCACGGGUGCGUAACACGUAUGCAACCUACCUUACAUUGGGGGAUAGCCUUUCGAAAGGGAGAUUAAUACCGCAUAAGACAGUAACUAAGCAUCUAGUAGCUGUUAAAGAUUUAUCGAUGUAAGCUGGGCAUGCGUCCAAUUAGUUAGUUGGCGAGGUGAUGGCUCACCAAGACGAUGAUUGGUAGGGGAACUGAGAGGUCAAUCCCCCACACUGGCACUGAGAGACGGGCCAGACUCCGACGGGAGGCAGCAGUAGGGAAUAUUGGGCAAUGGGCGCAAGCCGGACCCAGCCAUGCCGCGUGCAGGAAGAAGGCGUUAUGCGUUGUAAACUGCUUUUAUACAGGAAGAAACGACCCUUGCGAGGGGCAUUGACGGUACUGUAUGAAUAAGCACCGGCUAACUCCGUGCCAGCCGCCGCCGUAAAAC
rnacentral:rRNA from 1 species